rnacentral:rRNA from 1 species
UACAGAGGGGGCAAGCGUUAUUCGGAUUUACUGGGUUUAAAGGGUGCGUAGGUGGGUCUGUAAGUCAGUGGUGAAAUCUCCGGGCUUAACCCGGAAACUGCCAUUGAUACUAUAGAUCUUGAAUAUCCUGGAGGUGAGCGGAAUAUGUCAUGUAGCGGUGAAAUGCUUAGAUAUGACAUAGAACACCAAUUGCGAAGGCAGCUCACUACGGGAUCAUUGACACUGAGGCACGAAAGCGUGGGGAUCAAACAGG